GGAGGUAUAGCUCAGUGGUAGAGCGGCAGAUUGCAGAAAGUUCAAAUAUCUGAUGGUCACGUGUUCGAUCCACGUUACCUCCU